UACGUAGGGUGCGAGCGUUAAUCGGAAUUACUGGGCGUAAAGCGUGCGCAGGCGGCGCGUUAAGACAGGUGUGAAAGCCCCGAGCUUAACUUGGGAAUUGCGCUUGUGACUGGCGUGCUGGAGUGUGGCAGAGGGAGGUGGAAUUCCACGUGUAGCAGUGAAAUGCGUAGGGAUGUGGAGGAACACCGAUGGCGAAGGCAGCCUCCUGGGCCAGCACUGACGCUCAUGCACGAAAGCGUGGGGAGCAAACAGG
rnacentral:rRNA from 1 species